AUUCAACUAGCAGAACACUUUGGAAAGAGUGGCCAUAGCGGGUGAUAGCCCCGUAUGCGAAAGUGAUGUCGAAGGACUCGAGUAGGGCGGGACACGUGAAAUCCUGUCUGAACAUGGGGGGACCACCCUCCAAGCCUAAAUACUCGUAUGCGACCGAUAGCGAACAAGUACCGUGAGGGAAAGGUGAAAAGCACCCCGACGAGGGGAGUGAAACAGUUCCUGAAACCGGAUGCUUACAAACAGUGGGAGCUCAAGGUUCGUCCUGGGUGACCGCGUACCUUUUGUAUAAUGGGUCAGCGACUUAAAGUUACGAGCAAGCUUAAGCCGGUAGGUGUAGGCGCAGCGAAAGCGAGUCUGAA
rnacentral:rRNA from 1 species